AUAUUGUUCGUGACAGGUCGAGAUGGCAAUUUUCUAGUGAGGUGACAUCACAUACCGGGUUAUGGAUAUC